rfam:Felis catus isolate Cinnamon breed Abyssinian chromosome A1, whole genome shotgun sequence.
GCCUGGGUGGCUCAGUCGGUUAAGCGUCUGACUUCAGCUCAGGUCAUGAUCCCACGGUCCGUGAGUUCGAGCCCCGCGUCGGGCU